GGGGGUAUAGCUCAGUUGGUAGAGCGUACGGUUCGCAUCCGUAAGGCCAGGGGUUCGAAUCCCCUUACCUCCA
rnacentral:tRNA from 1 species